rnacentral:rRNA from 1 species
UACCAGCACCCCGAGUGGUCGGGACGUUUUAUUGGGCCUAAAGCAUCCGUAGCCGGUUCUACAAGUCUUCCGUUAAAUCCACCUGCUUAACAGAUGGGCUGCGGAAGAUACUAUAGAGCUAGGAGGCGGGAGAGGCAAGCGGUACUCGAUGGGUAGGGGUAAAAUCCGUUGAUCCAUUGAAGACCACCAGUGGCGAAGGCGGCUUGCCAGAACGCGUUCGACGGUGAGGGAUGAAAGCUGGGGGAGCAAACCGG